rnacentral:rRNA from 1 species
GGGGAAUAUUGGACAAUGGGGGCAACCCUGAUCCAGCCAUGCCGCGUGAGUGAAGAAGGCCUUCGGGUUGUAAAGCUCUUUCGGACGGAAAGAAAACGGAUGGGUUAAUACCCUGUUCGGAUGACGGUACCGUCAUAAGAAGCACCGGCUAACUACGUGCCAGCAGCCGCGGUAAUACGUAGGGUGCGAGCGUUAAUCGGAAUUACUGGGCGUAAAGCGUGCGCAGGCGGUUGAUUAAGACAGGCGUGAAAUCCCCGGGCUCAACCUGGGAACUGCAUCCAAAACUGGCGAGCUAGAGUACGGUAGAGGGUGGUGGAAUUUCCUGUGUAGCGGUGAAAUGCGUAGAUAUAGGAAGGAACACCAGUGGCGAAGGCGACCACCUGGACUGAUACUGACACUGAGGUGCGAAAGCGUGGGGAGCAAACA